rnacentral:rRNA from 1 species
GACGAACGCUGGCGGCGUGCUUAACACGUGCAAGUCGAACGGAAAGGCCCUGCUUUUGUGGGGUGCUCGAGUGGCGAACGGGUGAGUAACACGUGAGUAACCUGCCCUUGACUUUGGGAUAACUUCAGGAAACUGGGGCUAAUACCGGAUAGGAGCUCCUGCUGCAUGGUGGGGGUUGGAAAGUUUCGGCGGUUGGGGAUGGACUCGCGGCUUAUCAGCUUGUUGGUGGGGUAGUGGCUUACCAAGGCUUUGACGGGUAGCCGGCCUGAGAGGGUGACCGGCCACAUUGGGACUGCGAUACGGCCCAGACUCCUACGGGAGGCAGCAGGGGGGAAUAUUGCACAAUGGGCGGAAGCCUGAUGCAGCAACGCCGCGUGCGGGAUGACGGCCUUCGGGUUGUAAACCGCUUUCGCCUGUGACGAAGCGUGAGUGACGGUAAUGGGUAAAGAAGCACCGGCUAACUACGUG